GCUACGGGAGGCAGCAGUGUGGAAUAUUGGUCAAUGGACGAGAGUCUGAACCAGCCAAGUAGCGUGAAGGAUGACUGCCCUAUGGGUUGUAAACUUCUUUUAUAAAGGAAUAAAACGAGGCACGUGUGCCUUUUUGCAUGUACUUUAUGAAUAAGGAUCGGCUAACUCCGUGCCAGCAGCCGCGGUAAUACGGAGGAUCCGAGCGUUAUCCGGAUUUAUUGGGUUUAAAGGGAGCGUAGAUGGGUUGUUAAGUCAGUUGUGAAAGUUUGCGGCUCAACCGUAAAAUUGCAAUUGAUACUGGCAGUCGUGAGUACAGUUGAGGUAGGCGGAAUUCGUGGUGUAGCGGUGAAAUGCUUAGAUAUCACGAAGAACCCCGAUUGCGAAGGCAGCUUACUAAACUGUGACUGACAUUGAUGCUCGAAAGUGUGGGUAUCAAACAGGAUUAGAUACCCUUGUAGUC
rnacentral:rRNA from 1 species